rnacentral:rRNA from 1 species
GAUGAACGCUGGCGGCGUGCCUAACACAUGCAAGUCGAACGAAGCCUUCUGUGAAACUCUUCGGAGGGAAGCAGAAGGACUGAGUGGCGGACGGGUGAGUAACGCGUGGGUAACCUACCCAGUACUGGGGGAUAACAACCGGAAACGGUUGCUAACACCGCAUACGUUUGUUUUGUCGCAUGGCAGAACAAAGAAAAACUUGUAGGUAUUGGAUGGACCCGCGUCUGAUUAGCUGGUUGGUAAGGUAACGGCUUACCAAGGCGACGAUCAGUAGCCGGCUUGAGAGAGCGGACGGCCACAUUGGGACUGAGACACGGCCCAGACUCCUGCGGGAGGCAGCAGUGGGGAAUAUUGCACAAUGGGGGAAACCCUGAUGCAGCGACGCCGCGUGGGUGAAGAAGUAUUUCGGUAUGUAAAGCCCUAUCAGCAGGGAAGAAGAAAGACGGUACCUGACUAAGAAGCCCCGGCUAACUACGUGCCAGCAGCCGCCGUAACAC